rnacentral:rRNA from 1 species
AACGAACGCUGGCGGCAGGCUUAACACAUGCAAGUCGAACGCCCCGCAAGGGGAGUGGCAGACGGGUGAGUAACGCGUGGGAACAUACCCUUUUCUACGGAAUAGCUCUGGGAAACUGGAAUUAAUACCGUAUAUGCCCUACGGGGGAAAGAUUUAUCGGGGAAGGAUUGGCCCGCGUUGGAUUAGCUAGUUGGGGGGGUAAAGGCCUACCAAGGCGACGAUCCAUAGCUGGUCUGAGAGGAUGAUCAGCCACAUUGGGCCUGAGACACGGCCGAAACUCCUGCGGGAGGCAGAAGUGGGGAAUAUUGGACAAUGGGCGCAAGCCUGAUCCAGCCAUGCCGCGUAAGUGAUGAAGGCCCUAGGGUUGUAAAGCUCUUUCGCCGACGAAGAUAAUGACGGUAGUCGGAGAAGAAGCCCCGGCUAACUUCGUGCCAGCCGCCGCGGUAAUAC